UUAGCUCUACCUUAAUUUUUUUAUUACACCAAACAAAACACUAAAUUUAAGAGCUAUUCAAAUAAGGCACAGCUUAUUUGAAACGGGGUACAACCCCUAAUACCGGGUUAAUCUAGAUGUAACAAAUAAAGUGGGCCUAAAAGCAGCCAUCUUCCAAAAAGCGUUAAAGCUUAACACAUCACUAUCUACAAUUCCACAAUUUUUACUUAACCCUUUAUCACUACUGAACUAUUUUAUACCCCUAUAAAAGUCAUUAUGCUAGAACUAGUAACAAGAAAUUGCCCUUCUCCAAAAUGUAUGUUUAAACCAAAAUGGACCCUCCACUGGUAGUUAACGUAAAUGUAAAAACCAUAGUACCACACAACUAGAAAAUCCUACGGCUCACUAACGUCAACCUUACACUAGAACAUUACAGGAAAGAUUAAAAGAGAAAGAAGGAACUCGGCAAAUCACAGUCCCGCCUGUUUACCAAAAACACCGCCUCUUGCCCAAAUAUAAGAGGUCCAGCCUGCCCAGUGACAUAGUUUAACGGCCGCGGUACCCUAACCGUGCAAAGGUAGCAUAAUCACUUGUUCUUUAAAUAAGGACUCGUAUCAACGGCAUCACGAGGGCUGUACUGUCUCCUUUCUCCAAUCAGUGAAACUGAUCUCCCCGUGAAGAAGCGGGGAUUGACCUAUAAGACGAGAAGACCCCAUGGAGCUUUAAACCCAACACACACCUCUACGCACCCAAAUCAAUACAGCCCAAGAGACUUGUGUGUUGGUUUUAGGUUGGGGGGACCGCGGAGUAAAAUCAAACCUCCAUGACAGACGGGCUAGCACCCUUAUCCACGAACCACAAUUCUAAGAGCCAAUAAAUUGUUGUCUAAUGACCCAAUUACUUGAUCAACGAACCAAGUUACCCUGGGGAUAACAGCGCAAUCUACUUCAAGAGCCCCUAUCGACAAGUAGGUUUACGACCUCGAUGUUGGAUCAGGGUAUCCUAGUGGUGCAGCCGCUACUAAAGGUUCGUUUGUUCAACGAUUAAAACCCUACGUGAUCUG
rnacentral:rRNA from 1 species